UACGUAGGGUGCGAGCGUUGUCCGGAAUUAUUGGGCGUAAAGAGCUUGUAGGUGGUUUGUCGCGUCUGCUGUGAAAAUCCGAGGCUCAACCUCGGACUUGCAGUGGGUACGGGCAGACUAGAGUGUGGUAGGGGAGACUGGAAUUCCUGGUGUAGCGGUGGAAUGCGCAGAUAUCAGGAGGAACACCAAUGGCGAAGGCA
rnacentral:rRNA from 1 species